AACGAACGCUGGCGGCAGGCUUAACACAUGCAAGUCGAACGGGCAUAGCAAUAUGUCAGUGGCAGACGGGUGAGUAACGCGUGGGAACGUGCCCUUUAGUUCGGAAUAACCAAGGGAAACUUUGGCUAAUACCGGAUAAGCCCGAGAGGGGAAAGAUUUAUCGCUGAAGGAGCGGCCCGCGUCUGAUUAGCUAGUUGGUGAGGUAAUGGCUCACCAAGGCGACGAUCAGUAGCUGGUCUGAGAGGAUGAUCAGCCACACUGGGACUGAGACACGGCCCAGACUCCUACGGGAGGCAGCAGUGGGGAAUAUUGGACAAUGGGGGCAACCCUGACCCAGCCAUGCCGCGUGAGUGAUGAAGGCCUUAGGGUUGUAAAACUCUUUUAUCCGGGAAGAUAAUGACUGUACCGGAAGAAUAAGCCCCGGCUAACUUCGUGCCAGCAGCAGCCGCGG
rnacentral:rRNA from 1 species